CAGUGUCAAUUAUGUAAUGUCAAUUAUGAUGUAAUUCUUUUUUACUUGCCCAAACGGUGAGGUUUUAUUUGGAAAAAAAAAAAAAAACCCAUACUCAGUGUUGCUGUGGGGUGAGGGACUAGGUAGGUACAAUUUGAGGAGUAUCUUAAAAAGUGUGUAUUUGUUGGGGUGCCUGCGUGGUUCAGUCAGUUGAGCGUCUGACUUCGGCUCGGGUCCUGAUCCCGCAGUUCAUGAGUUCGAGCCCCGCGUCGGGCUCUGUACUGAUAGCUCAGAGCCUGGAGCCUGCUUCUGCUUCUGUGUCUCCCUCUCUCUCUCUCAAAAACAAAUAAAAAAAAAAAUGAAGAAAAAAAAGAAAGCGUAUAUUCGUUGACUUAGCAGUUUUGGUUUUAGGAGUUUGUCUUGUAGAAAUAAGCAUAGGUCACAAGAAUGUAGCCAUAAGAAUAUUUACCACGACAUUGUUGAGAUUAAUUGCAUAUGAUCUGAGGAUAACAAUGAAAAUGAUUGUUUAUUUUACUCAUUUUGUACUCUUAGCAUGGUCAAUUGAUGGGAUUAUUUUGGAAAGACUUUAAAUUAAAGCCAAGCACCCCGAGAUGAUUUUUAUUUAAAGUCACAUUGCUAGAUUGUGGAAAACUGAAGCAUUUUACUGAAUUGCUUCUUCAGAUCAAGAAUAUUUUUCAAUUAAAGGUCUUCUUACAGAUCCAACCCCCUCCUGUGUCUCACAAGAUUAUACUCCUACUGGUAUCAUAAGCACACAAAUAUGCUGAACUUAAAGCUGAUGUGAAGCCAGCGUUCAUCUGGAUCGACUAGACAGCAGUUAGCAUCAUGAGUUGUUUGUCAUUGCUGAUCUACCCUGAGCUUAGAGGAAUCACAGAUUUUAAAGAAUUUUAAAGGAAUUGAAGUUACAGCUUUGGAGAAGUCAUAGACAUUUAAGUUCCCAAACUGUAACUAGAGUGCAAACAUCUGUCUCUGGCUUAAUUAUCACACACUUGCCCUGUUGUUAACAGCUUGGGGUAAAGAAGUGAAGAACCUACAGGUAAACCAUAUCUGCCAAUGAAAACAUAAAAAUGCUUUACACUUGGGCGCACCUGGGUGGCUCAGUCGGUGAAGUGUUCAACUUCAGCUCAGGUCAUGAUCUUGCAGUUCGUGGGUUCGAGCCCCGCGUCGGGCUCUGUGCUGACGGCUCGGAGCCUGGAGCCUGCUUCGGAUUCUGUGUCUCCCUCUCUCUCUCCCCCUCCCCUGCUUGUGCUCUGUCUCUCUCUCUUAAAAAAAUAAAUAAACAUUUUAAAAGUUAAAAAAAAAAUGCUUUACACUUGGGACUUAAACCAGUUAUUCCGGAACUGUUCUAAUAUUUUAAAUUCUAUGGCCAAACUCUAGGCAUGUUUGGUUCCCCUAUAUUUGUAAAAAUGUAUUUUGUUCGUAAGUCUUUUGAACUAAAAGCCAAGAAAUAUCAUGGCUUGCAUAAAUCUGGAGUCUGAUUUGAAAUGUGCCUUUAUUGCAUAUACCUUUGUUCUUGGGGGUUGCAUACCUAUAGUUGCAAAUUUUCUCUUCGAUUUGUUCAAAAUGGAUCACUUAGUAAAAUUAGUUCUCUAGCUAUACGCUUUUAGUGUAAUUAAAAGCAAGUUCUUUGGACUGGUUUGGGAUUAUGGCUAACUUUUCAUUUUUGUAUGGCUGAUAAUUUAUACUUUUACUGUAUUAAGUAAACAGCUCAUGUAACUACACACUUAAAAAUUGUGAUUCUGUGAAACACUUAAGUGAUCUCGGAGGUGUGGGAAGAGCGCAAAGCACUAGAUGAGAUGAGACCUUUCUGUGCCAGGUGGGGGCUUCCCGAGGCACAUGGUGCUCAGGUUUGGUGAGGAAAUGGUGAAAGCCACAGCCUUGUCCUGCCGGUUCUCCAUUUCGUUUCUUUACCUGUGAGAUCACGGUCAAAGUCCCUGGCUAUCAUGAUGGGAAUUGAGAUUUUAAACAUUUAUUUCUGUUUACAUCCCAAAUCCACCUUAUAAAGAGGAAGGAGAAUUACAAGUAUUUUUUGAACUACAGUUGUCACUCUGUUACUUACUUUCCUUUCUUGGAGCCCCUGAACAUUAAUGGAAGUGCCACUAUCUCAACUUACUCUGUGUUUUCUAGGCAUUUCUAAAACUGGUAAAAAGGGAAACACUAAUAAUUAACUUCAGAGGCUAGUAGAACCAUGAAAAUAAUUGGGUUGUUAAAUGGAUCCAAGAGACCUUUAUUAAGCACCUACUAUGUGCUUGAUACGUUGCUCUAGGCAUUGGUUGUUACCAAGAUCGUGAAAGACCUGGGAGGGAGUAAAGAGAUACACGAAGUACUAAAGGAUGUAGAUGAAGAGAUGAUCAAACCUGUUCAUGUGUUUUCUAGAAGAACUUCUUACACACUUUUUUUUUUUUGAGCAACAGUAUUCAAUUUUGUCAUUUAAAAAAGGAAUCAGCCUUCUUU